rnacentral:rRNA from 1 species
UGGUGGAGUGAUUUGUCUGCUUAAUUGCGAUAACGAACGAGACCUUAACCUGCUAAAUAGCCCGGCCCGAUUAUCGCGGGCCGCUGGCUUCUUAGAGGGACUAUCGGCUCAAGCCGAUGGAAGUUUGAGGCAAUAACA